UUCCGGAUAGCUCAGUUGGUAGAGGUUCAGACUUUUGAUCUGAAGGUCCAGGGUUCAAGUCCCUGUUCAGGCG